UGCGAUGAUGAAUGAAUCCAAUGCUGACUGGAUGAUUGGCCCCAAUUGGCUGAGC
rnacentral:snoRNA from 1 species